CCGUCUCUUUCGCUCCGACCGCUAUCUUAUUCCUCCUUUUUCCUCUCCCUACCUUCGUCUCCACCGCUCUUCCCCUCUUUCUCACUCACGUUUCCUUCUUUUCCAUCGUGUGUUCAUCGUGCUUAUACCGCGAUACGAUCCCGGUACACUUGCCAACAACCGCCCUUUUUCCAUUCCGGAUCCACAUUACACUAUAGAUUUAUACCGCGCUCUCCGUCCACCGUAUCCUUAUCCACCGAUAUACUCGAAUUUUGUGAACAUCUUGGGAACCGUAUAGUGCUAUUUAGUUUGUAUCGCGUUACCACGUUCGACGUUAAUUGAACGAUAAGUGAGAAAAUAUGAAUAGGUCGAACAGUGAUUUUGUAUAACCGAACAUCAUUGCGAUUUAAUCGCGGUUUUUAGGUUAAGUGCGAGAUUCACUUUCGAUCGGAUGAUCGAUAUAAAAAUUUUUGCGGAUAACCCUUGAUGAUACAUCCCGAGGGCAACACCUGCUCGUGAUACAUCAUUUUGGAUCCAUCGUAUCUGUUGUUGUUGAGUUUUUAUAUAUAUUAUAUAAUACGAAACUGACUCCUAUACUGGUAUUCCUUAGCACGAUGCUCGUGAUGGUUAUGCUGGUUAUAGAGGUUAUGAAGUCUUGUCCGAGCUGGAAGAGUGGCGAGUAUUAUGGCGGUAUAUAGUCUGCCUAGCUAACCGACGCGAGGCUGGUCAAGCGUGACCCGAGUUGCCCAGUAAAAUUGCUAUCCCUCGCAUUUUGCAAGAGAAGGAAAAACCGCUUGAAAAAGGAUAUUAAGCUCGAGGAAGUAAAAAUUAUGCAGUCGUUUAUAAGCUAUUCACUUGCCUUCGAGGAGUCUUGGGCGAUUUUACUAUACGUCUAAAAGUGAAUACUAAUUGCGGAACGUGGAAAGCGUAAAGGAAUAGUGAUAUAUUGGCUAGUACAUAAAUAUGUUAACGACUAGUGCGUUUGUGAAACAAAUUAAGACUAGAGAAGAAGAUGAAUGUACCUUUGAAUAUUUUGCAUUUAUGGUAUUUUAACGAUUUUAUCUUACAGAUUAAUUUUCGUAAGAUUGUUUUAUGGAACAUAUAUUAUGUUGAAUGGUAUUCUUUUAUUUGGCGUGAAAUAUUAUUACUAUAAUUAUUCUUCUUUUUCAUUAAGUUAUCCAGGAAAUAUAUUAAGUAUGGAAAAUAUUUUGAUUUGUUUAUGUACUUAAAAUUGCACAAUUUCAAAAAAAAACUUAUUAAUUAAAAAGAAUUUAUUAUAAAAAA